rnacentral:tRNA from 1 species
AAGACGCUAGUAAAAGGUAUUACAGUGCCUUGUCGAGGCACAAUUUUGAGCUCACACCUCAAGCGUCUUG